rnacentral:tRNA from 1 species
GCGCCCAUCGUCUAGCGGUCAGGACACCGCCCUCUCACGGCGGGGGAACAGGGGUUCGAUUCCCCUUGGGCGUACCA